rnacentral:tRNA from 2 species
GGCGCUGUGGCGGAGUGGUCCAACGCGAAAGAUUCGAAAUCUUUUCCCUUAGGGGGCACCGGUUCGAAUCCGGUCGGCGUCG